ensembl:lncRNA
GCCCCUGAGUGACUGUGUCGUAGACUCAUUGUAUUGAAGAUUUCCAUGGGUUUCUAUUGCCUCAGAAAGACCCUUGUUUUUGGUGACCUUCAGGCCCAGCCCAUUUCUCCAGCCUUAUCACAUUAAGCCUCUCCCUGUAGUCACAGCUGCAGCUGCUCCAGCCAACUCAUCACACUCCACACAUGAAGCACCCUCUUGCCUCCGUGCCUUUGCUCUGUUUCCUCUUGCUUUGGCUGCUCUCACAGUUGACUAUGUCCUAUCCUCCCUACUGGAUUAUGAGGUGCCUGAGGUCAGAGUCAAAGCAUGGUCACAUCUAUUUGCCCAGUACCUACCAAGGCCCUGGACCAUGAUGGCCAGAAGAUAUACAGGCAGGAGGAAUAAAGACACAGAUGGUAUAUUUGCACUCACAACACUGCCUACCUGGUAACCGUAACUUUGCAGCAAUCCUGUGACUUUAGGAAGAGGUGGUCAUUCCGUACACUUCAAGUACGGCUUAUAAAGGUUUUUCCCAAGGUCACACAGAGAGGCGCCCAAAGCAGAUAUUUCAAUAUAUUCCAAUUUAGCCAAGGGAAGCCAGAACAUGGAUGCUGUUGCCAAGGAAACCACCUCCUUCCUCCCCGUGUGCUGUGCAUACGUGUAUCACUUCAUCUCUCCACUCUCCAAGGGGAAGACAACAGACUCGAUGGCUUAGCUAAAGCAAGCCUGGUACUUCCCUCAAGCAGCUUGUGGAUUGCAGAUUCCUGCCAGGCCCUCCAGAACCAGCCCAAGGUCUCUUCCCCCAGAUCUGUCUGCUCUCAGCAUUUUCUCCAAAAAGAGCCACGGGGAGGCUAUGCAAGUCAGGAGUAGAACCUGGGAGUCCUUCCAUCAGGAGCUGCAUGUCCCGUGCCUGCCGUGUUCCACACUCAGUGCCAGGGCUGGAGACACCCUCCCUGAGAUGACCCCAGCCCCGCUUUCCAGGAGCUGGGCGUCCAGGCUGGCAGGUGAGAAGCAUCCUGCCAGGCAAGGCUACCCCAGGCUUUGCCCUCAACUUCUGGAUUGUUGCACCUCUGUGUGAAUAUGCUCCCGUCCCACCUGACAUGGUGUGAUUUGGGUACCGUCCAACUUAAGAUGAAAAGAAGCCAGCCACGUGGCAAGCCGCCCUGCCGCCUCUGCUGGGGUGCCCCUCCUGCCGGCCAGGAUCUCACUCUCCCUUCUGAGUGGGGCUGUGAAGUGUCUAAUCCAGGCUUUUAUCUGGCAUCCACAAUUAUAAUGUCAAGAUUGAAUAAUCUGCCUUUAUCUUCUGGGUGACAGCCAUGUAGAAACUUCAAAAGAAACAGUAAUGCUGGCAUCUAACGGCUUUUGUUAAUUACUAUAUCCCAAAGAAAAUGAAAUAAAGGAGGAAGAAAAAUGA